rnacentral:lncRNA from 13 species
AUGCAGGGCCCUGCCGUGAUUCUGCUGCUACUCAGCUAUGGCACCAUACAACAGAUGACCUUCAUAAUGGGUGAUCCUACAGCAGCCAGACAGCACUGUCAAGACUACAACUCCACCUGCAUCCCUCACACAGACAAACAGGAGAAAGUGAUUUUAGCUGCUGAGAAGGUGCUUGGUCGAGUUGCGACCAGGGCAACAUUAAGAGAAGAGUCUCAUGGACCCAGGCUGAGAGAUCAGACUGCAGAGCAGGACACAGCCAAGAACACUAACCUAUCAGCACAGUCAUUGCCAUCCGUAAGAGCUCAGUCAGUUCCAGAGACACAGAAAAAGACAAGGAUAACACCUGAAACAGACAAAUUAAAGCUCACUCAGAAGAUAGGAUGGCUGAAUGAAACUUCCACACUGCAGGAUGAUAAAGCAGCAAAGAUCACUAGAAACAGAACAGUAUAUUCACAAACCGCUGGAUCUCUUCAUCAGCCAAACCAAACCAAUACAGCCAGAGAUGUCUCUGGCAUGAAAGGUGUAGUAGUACCAUCUCAGACAGUGGAGACAGCCAUUCUCAGUCCCACUGCAUGGUCAGAAAACCCCACUGAACCAGCCCUGCUGAUCCAGGAGUCAGACAGUGAUGGAGAAUCAAUAGGCUCAGGGAGAAAUACAUCAGUGAGGUUAGAUGAUUUACAGAUCCCACCUAAACCCAAACAGGGCUUUGGGCCUACAAGACAAACAUGGUCCUUAGAACACACCAUAAAACCCAACCUUUUGGAAUUCAAGAAAAUAGAGGAGGAGCUACUGAGGCAGGCUGUGAUUCCUCUGCCUCCAGUGCUACCUCCAAAUAAUAGCACUGUCACAGGGAGAAAGACAGCACUGGAGGCAGAGGAGCCUCUGGGACAAUCUCCAACACAUCAAAACACCACUGGAAUCACUUCCACAUCAACAGGUGACAAAGCUUCAAAGAGACAAAGGGGCCAAAAGACUGUGACAAAGACUUUGACAGAUUCUGGACAAGUCAUGGAGAAGGGGGAUAAAGUUUUAUCCCAGGAGCCACCCACAGAGGAUCUAGAGACAGACACAGAAACAAAGACAGAGUUCGAGUCAGCAGAAGAGAUGGACACAGAAACAGAAAUGGAAGAAAUUGAUGAGGACAAUGAUAAGGAAUCAGAGACAGAGGAAACAGAUGUAGGCGACAGCAAGUUGGCACACAACAUCACUCAAGUCAACACAAGGCAGUUUAAAAAUAAUGGAGGAGCCGUCAAAACUGAUGUUCUAACUGAGCUCAUGUCCCCGGAGCCGAGAGGAUUAGAGCGGGAACUGCCGCCUACCCCUCUGCCUCCUGCCAGUGUGCCAGCCAAUCAUCAACCAAGACACGCACUCAAAGAGCGAGGGACAGCCUAUAGACCGGGGCUUCGAGUGCAACAGGGACUUCAGGGUCCACCUGGUUUGACAGGGCCACCUGGACCAAAAGGGGAUAAAGUAAGUGUUAACUUUUUCACACAAUAUCUACUGAAUCUAAACUACUCAUAG